CAGUAGCCGCGGUAAUACGGAGGGAGCUAGCGUUGUUUGGAAUUACUGGGCGUAAAGCGCGCGUAGGCGGUUACUCAAGUCAGAGGUGAAAGCCCGGGGCUCAACCCCGGAACUGCCUUUGAAACUAGGUGACUAGAAUCUUGGAGAGGUCAGUGGAAUUCCGAGUGUAGAGGUGAAAUUCGUAGAUAUUCGGAAGAACACCAGUGGCGAAGGCGACUGACUGGACAAGUAUUGACGCUGAGGUGCGAAAGCGUGGGGAGCAAACAGGAUUAGAUACCCCAGUAGUCCCUGUCUCUUAUAC
rnacentral:rRNA from 1 species